rnacentral:misc_RNA from 1 species
AAGUCGUAACAAGGUUACCUUCUGCAGCGCAGCUCCGGAGACCUUGCAACCCCACGGGGAGGCAGCACGACAGUAAAUAAAGCUACCGCUUGCAAGUUGGCCAAUGCCAGCGACACGAUCGAAUUGCGGGGACCUCCUAAAGCCUGUAACACCAACCGUCCGGGGAAACUCGGGCGGGGCCCUCACGGGGUGGUAAGAGAGUACAGGAUGUAACAAUGGACAAUCCGCAGCGAAGACCCUACCGGCUCCGGCCUACGGGUACCGUUCACAGAC